AACCACACCGGUGGCCUAGUGGUUAGAGCAUCCGCCUUGGAUGUGGAAGGCUGUGGGUUAUAUCCCCAGUUGAGUCA